UGCUGAGAGGGGUUUAGGAACAAGUUGAGGUGGCCCUGAAUGAAAACAGUAAACAAUGUUUGGGCAGUUUUCCAGAUUCCCCAAGAAUGAACUUUCACAGAGCUUUGUGUGUGUGUGUGUGUGUGUGUGUGUGUGUAGAGAGAGAAUAUUACUAAAAUUAAUAGGAUACCACUUACAUCCAUAAACAAAUAUGUAAACAACUCAAAAACCAAAUCCAGUGGUUUUAUUUUUCAAAUCAACUCUGACUUUUUAAUGCCAUUGAAUGUUUUCUGAUCUAUUAGUGUGAAUUGUUAAGAACUGGCUCUUCUCAUGAAAGUAUAAAAUGCUAAUUGACUUUAAAAAGCUUCAGAAGAUAUAAUGUGAAAAAUAAAAGCAUUGAGUAGGAAUGCAAUUCUAUUAAGCAAUAUAUAUGACUGGACAGAUGUGAGCUAAAUUAACAGUUACAUCUAUGUGAUACAAUUAUGGGUAAUUUUAAUUUUCUUCAUUUUGUUUUACUCUGUUUUCAAAUAUCCUACAAAUGUGUAUUUUAAUAAUAAUAAAAAUAAAUAUUGUUGC
rnacentral:lncRNA from 1 species